AUUUCUUAGAUAGUCAUAUUGUUCCAGCGAUGUCCAGACUGCCUAGAGGGUUUGGCCGCUUCCUCCCUCCGUGGUUGGAACUCAACAACGAACUGAGCCAGAAGAUAGCUGUAUUCGAUGCCAUGACCAUUGAGCGAGGGGAGCUAGAUCGCGAUAUCAGUCUAUUACGCAAGCAGCAGGCUGAUACUGAAGAUUGUCUGGCAGAGGACCUGGCCGAGGACGAGUUCCAGAGUUUCCUGAGUGGACAGCAAGUCAUGGAGCAGAGUUAUACAGACCUCGAAAAUAUUUGUAAUCAACAAAUUGGAUGCAUUGUCGAUAAGUUGGCUGCUAAAUAUAAGCGUAUUGUGUACCUCGAUAUCGUCCUAAGGAAGCUUAAGCAAUCUAUCGAGACGGGUAUUGCUACGGCCAAUGCGCAGUUGACAGCAGCGGCGACCAUGUGAUUUAAUGGAGAAAUAUUAAACCAAAUAUACAAAUAUCUGUGCGCGAUAGGCCAGAAAAGCUGCCUCGUGAGUAAAUUCUGUGAUGUUCUCAGCCUUUACUUGAAAAUCUAUGCAUUAUUCCCAGCAGCAAUUAACCAGCUAAAUUAUUCAGUUUCUUGUGAAAUAUAUACUUGAUUUAAUUGAUACCACCGAUGGCGUCAUAAAAAAUAAAUAAAUAACUGCAGUUUGGAUUUGAA